rnacentral:misc_RNA from 1 species
GAUGAAGAACGUAGCGAAAUGCGAUAAGUAAUGUGAAUUGCAGAAUUCAGUGAAUCAUCGAAUCUUUGAACGCACCUUGCGCCCUUUGGCUAUUCCGAAGGGCAUGCCUGUUUGAGUAUCAUGAACACCUCAACUCUUCACGGCUUGCCGUGAUGAGUUUGGACUUUGGGGGUCUUGCUGGCCUACGAGCCAGCUCCUCUCAAAUGUAUUAGCUUGCCGGUGUUUGGUGGCAUCACAGGUGUGAUAACUAUCUACGCUUGUGGUUUUCCACUAGGUAACCUUCAGCAAUGGAGGUUCACCGGAGCUCACAAAUGUCUCUCCUUGCCAAGGACAGAUUUUGACCAUUUGAUCUCAAAUCAGGUAGGACUACCCGCUGAACUUAAGCAUAUCAAUAGCGGAGGA